GAUGGCAUAUAAUAGAACAGGAGAGCUGAAUUUCGUAGUUAAAUUGUAGGUUCCUCCCAAUUUUCCCGGCACCUAUAAUCAAUCCAUCAAAUGUUUCCAGGGAAAAUUGAACCCCGUUGUAUCCAACGCGACGCCUACGGACCGGCGGAUAAAGUGGUGGUCGCCGUGAAAGCAGAGAAAGUGAUAUCCAAGACUGCACUAGCUUGGGCUCUGACUCACGUUGUCCAUCCUGGUGAUUGCAUAUCCUUGCUCGCCGUCUAUUCUAACUGCAAAACCGGUAAGCGAUUCUGGAGCUUUCCGAGAUUUACUGGCGAUUGUGGGAGUAGUCAGAAGGAAAGGCUGCCGGACCGCGUUUGUGAAAUAUCCGAGUCCUGUUCUCAGAUGGUGCUUCAGUUUCAUAACCAAGUUGAGGUGGGAGUGAGGAUUAAGGUUGUGUCAAGCAAAUCUGGCAGUGCUGUUGCAGCUGAAGCAAGGCGUAACGGAGCCAACUGGGUUGUACUGGACAAAAAAUUAAAGCAAGAGCUAAGGCAUUGCAUAGAGGAGCUUCGCUGCAAUAUUGUGGUGAUGAAAGGUUCUCAAGCAAAAGUCCUUAGGCUUAAUUUAGGAUCCUCAGAUGAAGUCCAAACCCCAUACUAUUCUGCUGCCUCUUCGCCAGAAAGGGAUUUUGGAGGACACAGGAUGAAGCAUUCUACACCAGUGAGCAGCCCUGAGGAGUCGAGUACUUCCUACUCGAGAACCAGAGACGAUUCGUUAUCAAGUUGUGACUCAACAACACCCCUUUUUCUCAUUUAUAAACAAAAUCCCCUUUUCGAAGGAACAAAUAAAGGAAAAUAUGCACCAGAAGAUAAUCAAAAUGACUCUGAUGACUCACUUGCAGCUCAUUGUUCAUAUGAUAGGCUUAUCACUCUGUCAGCAAACCCAACAUCUUCUGUAGCUAGUAAUAAAAAUAGUGUAUUGUGGAUUCCCCAAAACCACCUUGUUGAUGAGAAGUGCCCAAGAACCCAGAAUCAAAAUACUUCGAAAAGUAGAUCCAAAGCUUCUGGAACUCUACUUGACAAAUUUGUGCAGUAUGAUCAAGAUUCUAGGGCUGGUAUAGCUGAGUUCAGCCGUAUCCAUCAAAAGGAAUACACUGCAACCUCAAGUAUAAGAAAUGCAGUUUCCUUGGGUAGAACAUCUUCAAUGCCUCCUCCUUUAUGCUCACUGUGUCAACACAAGGCUCCAGUUUUUGGAAAACCUCCAAGGCAAUUUUCUUACAAGGAGCUAGAGAAGGCCACAGAAGGAUUUUCAGAUAUGAAUUUCCUGGCUGAAGGAGGCUUUGGCUACGUUUAUAGAGGGGUAUUAGGGGAUGGUCAGGUGGUUGCAGUGAAGCUGUUAAAGUCUGGCAACUCUCAAGAAGAUGCUGAUUUCUGCAGGGAAGUGAGGGUAUUGAGCUGUGCACAACAUAGAAAUGUUGUGAUGUUGAUUGGAUUUUGUAUUGAUGGCAAGAAGAGAAUGUUGGUCUAUGAGUACAUAUGCAAUAGCUCCUUGGACUUUCAUUUGCACGGAAACAAGAAAGCACCUCUAGAUUGGCACUCACGGAUGAAAGUAGGAAUUGGGACAGCUAGGGGCUUAAGAUAUCUUCAUGAAGAUUGUAGAGUGGGUUGUAUAGUGCAUAGAGACAUGAGGCCCAAUAAUAUACUCAUAACGCAUGAUUUUGAACCCCUGGUUGCUGAUUUUGGGCUUGCUAGGUGGCUUUCUGAAUGGAAUAUUAGUACAGGGGGACGAGUCAUCGGAACUUCAGGGUAUCUAGCUCCAGAGUACAUCAACGGUGGAAAAAUUACACAGAAAGUUGAUGUUUAUGCAUUUGGAGUGGUUUUGUUAGAACUAAUGACGGGGCAAAGAAUGAGUGAGAUCCAUCUUUAUGAGGGACAGCAUUUCUUAUCUGACUUGCACACUCUUGCUGCACUAGAACCAAGCCAUGUCUUGCAAAGUAUAUAUCGAUUACUGGAUCCAUACUUGGCCACUGAGAAAGGCCAUGAAUUUUCCCAUCAACUAAAGGCUAUGGGUCAAGCCGCUUUUUUGUGCUUACAUCCAGAUCCAGAAUCCAGACCUGCAAUGUCAAAGGUCCUUAGAAUACUUGAAGGAGGAGAUCUGGUACAUUCUUUGGGCUUGGACAUGAAUCCAGCUGGUAGUAGAAGUGGCCAUUUGCGAGGUCUGAGCUUACACAAGGAAGAUAAAAUAAGUCACUCUCGCAAGCUUUCUCAUUAAAAGUUGAUUCUACACUAACUGGCAGUUGAUAGUAACUGCCACAUACCAAAUGCGCUGACUUGAGAGUGUGUUCUCUGUGCAUAGUUCUGAAGCGAUCAUUUUUCUUCCAUACUGCUUCUUGGACUUUAUGCUUAACGGUGCUGUUCUUUUUCUUGAUCUUAUGAUUGGGCAACACCACAGCAGGACAGCAGGAAGCCGGGCAGAUAGCCCUCUCUGCUUCAUAAUCCCUUAAAUUCUACCGUAAGAGUUAUUGCUCAAAAUAAUCUUCAGCAGUCCUUGUGUUCGCUUUCGAGUGGUUACCAUGUUCAAUUAAUGAGAUUUGGUAUAAUAUUAACUAAUGCUGGAGGAAAUAUGUUUAGAAGUUUAGAGCCGUAAGCACAUGACUACGAUUUUGAUGCCGCAUCUUUCUUUCUGACCCUGUAGCGUUAUGACACAUUUCCUGAUUACUCGGUCCAUUCACCCAACGCAACUUCUAUUUUUGGAAGAGCUUACUUCGUACAUGAAAUGUCUAUGGAUAUUAUUUUCCUCUCU